UUCUUUCUUUCUUUCUCUCUUUCUCUCUUUCUUUCUUUCUUUCUCUCUUUCUUUCUUUCUUUCUUUCUUUCUUUCUUUCUUUCUUGGCAAGGCUUACAGAAACUUCUUUCUUUCUUUCUUUCUUUUUUCUUUUUUUUUUUUUUUUUAACUUAAAGGCAAGUCUUACUAUGUAGCCCUAGCUGACCUGAAACUCUUUGUAGACCAAACUGGCCUCAGACUCACAGAGAUUGGCCUACCUUUGCCUUUCUUGUAAGUGCUGGGACUAAAGUGUAUACCAUCAUGCCUGGUUCAGAAAACCUUGCAUCUCUUGGCUGAUAUAGCCUCUAAUUUCCUAUUUGAAAAUGAGUGUGAAUGGUAGAAAAGGUAGAGUUUUGGUAACUAUUUAGAGUCUUGAUAGUUUUGUUCAAAAUGCUUUUGUGCCUGGCAGGGAGUUGCACCCUUGUAGCACCAUAUGAUCCCAGCGCUUGGGAGGUGUAGGCAGGAGAGUCAGUUCAAGGCCUAAACUACAUACUGUCUCCUGCCUAACUAUAACUAUAGCUAUAGCUAUAACUAUAACUAUAACUGUAACUAUAACUAUAGCUAUAACUCCCCAUCCGUACCUGGUUCUCAUCAUCCCUUUGCUAUUAGAUAUUUUGAGCCAGAGACAGGUAAGAGUAUUUCCCUACUCUUGAGUGAUUUGCAGUUUGGAAAGACCAGACCACUGGAAAGUUUCAGAGGCGCAGCUCUUGAGCUGCCCUGGGUUCAGUCCCCAGCACUAUAUAGGUUGGGUGUGGUGGUACAUUCCUGAAAUGCCAGCCUGUGGAGGUGGUGGCAGGAGGAUCUGAAGCCCAAAGUCCUCCUUGGCUACAUAGCCAGUUCUAGUCCCACCUGAGUUACAAAACAACAAAACUACAAAUAAAGGGCUGGAGCGAUGCCUCAGAGGUUCAGAGUGCAUGCUGCUUUCACAGGAUUUGCCUUCAGGUCCCAGUGUCCAUGCGAGCAGGCUGACAACCACCUAUAACUCCACCUUUAGGGGAUUUGAUGCCCUUUUCUAUCCUCCACAGACACCUGCACACAUGUGACAUACACGUACAUAAAAAUAAAUCUUAAAGUAAUUCUCUGCCAUGACGUUUAAAAGCCAAUGUAAAAGGGAUAAUUUCUUAAAAUACCUGUUUUCUCAAAUUUGACUCACCAGAAGUAAAAAAUAGACAUACAGUUUAAAAUCGUUAAAGUAGCUAAGAUAGACUCCUCAAAAUAGAAAACAAAUACUUGGCAGACUCAAAUAGUUUUCUGGCCAAAGUUAAUCAAAUUUCUAAGAAGUAGAAGUGCAUUUUAUUCCUGGUCUCACAGGCCUUAAAUCCAAGUACUUGGGAGGCAGAGGCUGGUGGAUUUUUGUGAAUCUAGAGCCAGCUUGAUAUACAUAGGAAGUUUCAGGCCAUCUUGGCUACACAGGGAAAUCUAGUUUCAAG
rnacentral:lncRNA from 1 species